rnacentral:rRNA from 1 species
AACAAACGCUGGCGGCGUGCCUAAUACAUGCAAGUCGAACGGGGAAAGCCUUCGGGUGAGUACUAGUGGCGCACGGGUGAGUAACGCGUGGAUAAUCUGCCCUAGAGUGGGGAAUAACUAUCCGAAAGGAUAGCUAAAACCGCAUAAGACCACAGAUGCUGCGGCAUCAGAGGUAAAAUAUUUAUAGCUUUAGGAUGAGUCCGCGUAGGAUUAGCUAGUUGGUAGGGUAAUGGCCUACCAAGGCGACGAUCUUUAGCUGGUCUGAGAGGAUGAUCAGCCACACUGGAACUGAGACACGGUCCAGACUCCUACGGGAGGCAGCAGUAGGGAAUAUUGCGGAAUGGGGGAAACCCUGACGCAGCGACGCCGCGUGAGUGAUGAAGGCCUUCGGGUCGUAAAGCUCUGUUGUACGGGAAUAAUUUUGAAUGUACCGUGCGAGAAAGGAUCGGCUAACUUCGUGCCAGCCGCCGCCGUAACAC